rnacentral:tRNA from 1 species
GCCUCCAUAGCUCAGUGGUUAAGGCACUGGUCUUGUAAACCAGGGGUCGUGAGUUCGAGUCUCACUGGAGGCU